rnacentral:rRNA from 1 species
GAUGAACGCUGGCGGCGUGCCUAAUACAUGCAAGUCGAGCGAACGGACGAGAAGCUUGCUUCUCUGAUGUUAGCGGCGGACGGGUGAGUAACACGUGGAUAACCUACCUAUAAGACUGGGAUAACUUCGGGAAACCGGAGCUAAUACCGGAUAAUAUUUUGAACCGCAUGGUUCAAAAGUGAAAGACGGUCUUGCUGUCACUUAUAGAUGGAUCCGCGCUGCAUUAGCUAGUUGGUAAGGUAACGGCUUACCAAGGCAACGAUGCAUAGCCGACCUGAGAGGGUGAUAGGCCACACGGGAACGGAGACACGGUCCAGACUCCUACGGGAGGCAGCAGUAGGGAAUCUUCCGCAAUGGGCGAAAGCCUGACGGAGCAACGCCGCGUGAGUGAUGAAGGUCUUCGGAUCGUAAAACUCUGUUAUUAGGGAAGAACAUAUGUGUAAGUAACUGUGCACAUCUUGACGGUACCUAAUCAGAAAGCCACGGCUAACUACGUG